CCGGCUUCCUUCAGCAACCCAAAACUGUGGAAUGGAAACAGAAGGCCAGGUCUGCAGCAAGGGCUUGCUCAGACCAUUUGGACACAGGGCUGUCUUGAGGAUGAAUAAGAAGAUACUCUAGAAUAACCGGUGCCAAUUUGGGGCCCUCCAGAUUUUCCUGGACUACAUCUCCCUUCAUCCCUGCCCAUUGACCAUGCCCCAGGAGGCCCAAUGCAGUAUUGUACCGGAGCAUUGUGGGAAAUGCCUAGGGCAGGCAGCUUCUAAGCCACUUCUUCCAGAUUGUGAUGAGGGGAGAGAGCGGUGCUGCCCCACUCGUUCGUGGGUGACAUUAACCC